UAGUGAUUCUCUAACGCUUUCUGCUACCACCGCCUUCUUCCAGCGAGAUCCCAUCUGGAGUGAUUCGUCAGAGAAAAAUGAAAGUUUUGACAAUUUCUAGUGCUGAUGAUAUUUUCCACUGCAUGUUGUAGUCAUUCAUUGUUUUUGUUUACAGGUGGAUCGUUUGGAAGUCUUCAUUAUGUUAAAUUAUAUGUUGAUUAACUGAAGCUAGUGAACUGUUUCAACAUCGCAGCGAAAAUUUAUGUUUGUGCUCCCGCACCCGUACAUUUUACUUGACAUCAGAAAGCAUAAGAAAUUGAUAUUAGCAUUGCAAAAUCACUUGAAAGUUAAAAAGAAGAAAACUGUUGUAUGAAAAUGC